UUUACUGUACAAGUCCCGGAGGAGUAACUGGGGAUUUUAAAGAAACAGACUUUCAUGCAACGCUAGUUUCCUGCUGUUGGUGCUGUUUACCACACAGAGGAGACACGGACUCUACAGGUUACCUGUCAACAUGAUGGAAUCUCUGAGUUGCAGAUGGUACCUUCAGCUUGUCUGCAUGCUGAUCUUUGCUGUGGCACGUGCCAAGCCAGGGUUUUUAAAAAGUAACCAAGUAGGAGGAAACAAUGACCCAGGAAGCUUGGGUGAGAUCGAUCCACAGUGUUGGGAUUCCUCAUCUCUUGCUCUUGCUGAAGUGAAGAAACUCAGAGUAGCAGAUUCUGUCAAUGGUCUUUGGGACUUCAUGAUCUUCCUGAAGAUGUCUGAGUAUCCGAAGCAUAAUGCCCUCUUCAAUGACCUGGCCCAGCUAUUCUGGGAUAUCUAUGUGGAUUGUGUUCUAUCACGGUCCCAUGGAAUUGGCAGGCGAUACAUUGUGUCAAAGAAAUACACAAAAUAUACACAGAAUUUUACAUAAAAUUUGAAAGGUUUUACUGGGAAGCAUAUGGUCUGAAUACUGAAAAAAACACAUGAAAUAAAUAUGAGUGAAAAUAUAUUUUCUUUAAGGAUGACUGUCUGCUUCAUACAUAGGGGACUGUAGACUAGACACCUUACCUUUUCAUUAAAGUAGUCCUGAGUUGGUACUGCAUACAAUUAAUAUCAAGGGAACAGUGAAUACCAGUAUUAAGCGCAUUAAUUAUUUUUAAUUAUCACAUCAAUAAUACAAAAAUGCAAACUUACUAUGCCCUUUGUAAGUUCGGUUUUAUUAAAAAAAAAAAUAUUUUGUAUACUUCGAGGCAGACAUCAUUUCUCAGGAAACCUGCCAAAGUUGAAACUAGACUAUUUCACCAGUAUUAUUUGCAGACAGACUCCCUUUUUGAGUUUAACUUUAUACUGUAAUUCGAUCAUUGUAAUGCAGAUCCAACAUAUUUUGUAUAGAUGUAUUUCACAAUUAAAAGUAAAAAUGUAUAUUUUGUUAAUGAGGUAAGCAUUUUCAUCUAUCAUUUUUUAUGUUUACAAAGA